rnacentral:rRNA from 1 species
UACGGGAGGCAGCAGUGGGGAAUAUUGCACAAUGGGCGCAAGCCUGAUGCAGCCAUGCCGCGUGUAUGAAGAAGGCCUUCGGGUUGUAAAGUACUUUCAGUCGUGAGGAAGGUGUUAAGGUUAAUAACCUUAGCAAUUGACGUUAGCGACAGAAGAAGCACCGGCUAACUCCGUGCCAGCAGCCGCGGUAAUACGGAGGGUGCGAGCGUUAAUCGGAAUUACUGGGCGUAAAGGGCACGCAGGCGGUUAAUAAGUUGGAUGUGAAAUCCCCGGGCUUAACCUGGGAAUGGCAUUCAAGACUGGUUAGCUAGAGUCUUGUAGAGGGGGUUAGAAUUCCAUGUGUAGCGGUGAAAUGCGUAGAGAUGUGGAGGAAUACCGGUGCGAAGGCGGCCCCUGGACAAGACUGACGCUCAUGUGCGAAAGCUGGGGAGCAAAC